rfam:Trichuris trichiura, WGS project CBXK01000000 data, contig: TTRE_891
GCCUCAAUAACUCAGUAGGGAGAGCGUUAGACUGAAGAUCUAAAUGUCGCUGGUUCAAUCCCGGCUCGAGACA